rnacentral:tRNA from 1 species
ACCGUUUUAGUAAAAGAAAGUUACGUUUGAUUUAAGCUCGAAAGAUUUCUAUGGUU